GAUGAACGCUGGCGGCGUGCCUAACACAUGCAAGUCGAACGAAGGUAUGUAUAGGAAGUCUUCGGAUGGAAUAUGUAUAACUUAGUGGCGGACGGGUGAGUAACGCGUAAGUAAUCAACCUGUGACACACGGAUAACUGAUAGAAAUGUCAGCUAAUACGAGAUGAACUGUUUAAAUUGGGAAAUGGAAACAGCAAAGCGAAAGCGGUCACAGACGAGCUUGCGUCUGAUUAGCUAGUUGGUGGGGUAAGAGCCUACCAAGGCGACGAUCAGUAGCCGGCCUGAGAGGGUGAACGGCCACAUUGGAACUGAGACACGGUCCAAACUCCUACGGGAGGCAGCAGUGGGGGAUAUUGCACAAUGGGGGGAACCCUGAUGCAGCAACGCCGCGUGAGUGAAGAAGGCCCUAGGGUCGUAAAGCUCUGUCGUAUGGGAAGAAACAAAUGACUGUACCAUACAAGAAAGCCCCGGCUAACUACGUGCCAGCAGCCGCGGUAAUACGUAGGGGGCAAGCGUUAUCCGGAAUUACUGGGCGUAAAGGGUGCGUAGGCGGCUAGUUAAGUCGAGGUUAAAAGGCAGUAGCUCAACUACUGUUGGGCCUUGAAACUAAUUAGCUUGAGUAUAGGAGAGGAAAGUGGAAUUCCCGGUGUAGCGGUGAAAUGCGUAGAUAUCGGGAGGAAUACCGGUGGCGAAAGGCGACUUUCUGGACUAUAACUGACGCUGAGGCACGAAAGCGUGGGUAGCAAACAGG
rnacentral:rRNA from 1 species